rnacentral:lncRNA from 1 species
CUAAAGUACUCAAGAAACUCUUCUCCCUCCUUUGUUUCCCGUGGGAUUUCAGCUUGUGAAGAGAUGUGGAACCGAACCCCCGAAGUGCCUUCCCCUAUUGCACGUUUGGGUUUUUAUAGGCUGCAACCUUCCUCUCUCUUCUUCCUCGUUUCACGUUGCGAUAAGGAUGGACUAAAGCGGGAUGAGGUUGAGAGAUUUCUGCUUAAUCUCCGGACGCGUUGGAGCUUGGAUGAUUCCGAAGAGAAAAUCUGGGAGAUAAAUCAGUUCGGAGUUUAUCCAUGGAUAUGCUGGGAUUUGAGGUUGGGAACGGAUGGAACGCGUUGUGAACGCGCAGUGGAUGUGCUUGGACACGGCUGGGAACAGAGGAGGUGAUCUGUGGGAUAUUGGAAGGAUGCGGAGGAGGCUCGGAUGGCUCGGAAGCUUGGAGGAAAUCUGGGAUGGAGGAAAUUAUGGCUGGAGAUGAAGUUAAUCUGAGCUGGCCAUGAGAUAUUCGGACGUGGAGGGAGAUGAUCACGUGGAGGAUCAUGUGGCUCCAUUCUGAAACAGGGAAAAAACUUGGAUUCAGUUGACAGUUUAGAUGAAGCUUGCUUGGAAGCUUGGGAACGGCUGGCC